GGGAGUGACAAUACACUGGGUCAGGUAUUAGCAGAGGGCCAGGAGGGAGUGACAAUACACUGGGUCAGGUAUUAGCAGAGGGACAGGAGGGAGAGACAAUACACUGGUUCAGGUAUUAGCAGAGGGCCAGGAGGGAGUGACAAUACACUGGGUCAGGUAUUAGCAGAGGGCCAGGAGGGAGAGACAAUACACUGGGUCAGGUAUUAGCAGAGGGCCAGGAGGGAGUGACAAUACACAGGGUCAGGUAUUAGCAGAGGGCCAGGAGGGAGUGACAAUACACUGAGUCAGGUAUUAGCAGAGGGCCAGGAGGGAGAGACAAUACACUGGGUCAGGUAUUAGCAGAGGGCCAGGAGGGAGAGACAAUACACUGGGUCAGGUAUUAGCAGAGGGACAGGAGGGAGAGACAAUACACUGGUUCAGGUAUUAGCAGAGGGACAGGAGGGAGAGACAAUAC
ensembl:lncRNA